GACCCAGGAGAUUGGUUUAAUCAAAUAAUGAUGUUUUUCAUUAUUCACGUUUUCCCCUAAACAGACCCCUAAUGGUGACGACACCGUGCGUACGAUUCUAGCUGCCGAUCUUCAUCUUCCUCUGAUCUACCUUUUCAUUUACUCCUGUCAUUAACACAUAACAUCUUCUUUGCUUUGUAUUAAUUAUCUCCACUUGAUUUCAUGUUAAUAAUUGUUGUGUAUGUUUGUUAGGGUUUUUCCAAUCCUAUUCUCUAUUUUGCCCAAAUCAAGAUAAGGGUUCUUUUAUUUUCGAUCAACGUUUAUUAUAUAAUGCAUCCAUCAAAGUAGCAAAUAUGUUAUUUUUUGGUUUCAAGUUCUCGGUUUCGCUUUAAUAAGGCCGAAUAACCGACCCGGAAAACCCGAGCUCGAACCGAAAUGCUUGCAGAUAAGAUUCACGGGAAAAUAAGUGAAGGUGACUUUGUUUUAUCAACUAGGUAAACAUAACUAAGGUGGCAACCGGUGAUUCAUGCACCAACAACACUGUUGCAUCUGCUGCAAGCUAACAGGAGAAGGCUCUACGCGAAGCCUAGACCAAAACCCAAAAAAGCACUAGAAAUGUUGCUGUUGCGAAGAUCUGGAAGCUUUUAGGCGAGCAGUUGCUACUCAAAGACACCCCGAAUGAUUCUGUUGUCUAUAAAAAAAGAUCAAAGAUAUCAUGGUAAGGUGAGAGGAAUCAGUGAUUUGUUAAGGCAACUUACUAACAGUUGAAAAACAAUUAUACUAAUAUUAGAAGUAAGAAUGUCAAUGUGUUCUACAUGUCAGACUGUAUUACGUUAAUAUGUUAUUUUAUUUAAUUAUAAUCUA
rnacentral:lncRNA from 1 species